CGGCGGGGCGUGCGGCUCCCCCCGGCGCGGGGGGCGAAGACGCAGGACGGCGAGCCUGGCUGCUCCGGGAGCCGCGGCGAGGUCGCGCGGAUGGAGCUAUAACAACCUACACCGGGCAAACCUGACUUUCAGGUCUCUCCCACAGACGGAGACAGGGGAGCAGAUGCAACCACCCACGGACCAGCCCGCAGACACACAGCAUGCUUCACCACAGCCUGGCAAAGCGCUCGAACGGUGCCAUCAUGAGCAGUGGCUCCAGGCACCUCCGUGGGAAGGAGAAGACUGUAAUAUUGCGUCACAAACAGUAGAGCUGGACCCUUGACACGCAGACCUUUCAUCGUCUCAUUUGAAGGCUGUUCGUGUCACCACCUGCAUGUUCAGAAGCACAGAAUGUCACGAUUACCACACGAAGUGUCAGGAUAAUUGCAUGUUACAUACCUGCCCAGGGUGUAAUCCCAACCUACGAACAUGAAGGCUUGUAGUGAGUUUGUUUGGCGCCACUAAGCAUGAGAAAUCCCCAAUAAUUUGUCUCCUAUUGUGAAACCCCGUGUGCAGCCCUAAAAAUAGUCGCACCGAAACAAAGGUGAGUCGAAAGUGUCCCCGGCUGAGCCCAGACAGAGGAGAGUUGGGUAAAGCAGGGGUUUUUUACACGCUUUUCCAGAAGAAUAAAAACAACAGAAAGGAGGAAAAAAAAAAACUUCCUUUACCCCCUGGCUCUACACCCCCUGUUGAACCAGUGAAUCAAAUGUGAUGUGACUUUAAACUGCUGUGUCAUGAAGAUGUGGCUGACGCCUCACUGGAUUCAAACGACUUCCUCCAGGAACCUCUGAAUCAGGCCCGCUCGUGAGUCCCUUCUGUGGUCCUUCUGUUCAGCUGCUCGGAACUCAACGUCAGCCUCACGGCACCAUUUGACUGUGGCACUUUGCCCCUGGAGCUCAGGAAUACUAAACUGUUCUUGACCACACAUACGUGCUGGCCGUGCGAACAUGACAAGCAUACACACACACACACACACACACACACACACACAUGCAAUGAAACACCUAAACAAACACACUAAACAAAUACUUGGACACUAACAGACAUACAUAUACAAAUACUUACGCAUUCCCUCUCACACAGAGCCAUGCACAGAACCAAACUUAAGCUUGUGUCAUACACAAGCCACCUGGCUUCUGUGUUAGUGGUGGGGGAGGAGAAGGGGGUACUGGGGUCCCAGGGCCAUCUCGCGGUUAAAGCCUUCCUCCCCUCUAAUCUCUAUAGACUCUCGUAGGGGAAUUUAGGACACAUCAGGAGAGGGCUUUGUACCCUUGUGGUUGUGGUUGAGUAGAUGACCAAUCCACGCUCUAAGGAACGCUGAAACAGGUGAUGUCUGCAUGUCAACAGGUGGACUGUGGUGACUGGUCGGUCUCUGUGUAACUGCUUGAAAUAAAAAUAAAAUUGUUUGCAUAUAUAUUUUCAGGAACUCUGGCUAUAUGUUGUUUAUUAAAUUAUUGAGUCUUUCCAUGAGCUCUAACUGCUCAUUCUCUCUUUCUGUACAAAAGCUUUCCCCUUCUCCACCUUUCUCUUUUAACAUUUCCUUUAGGCAUCAGAGUUUUAGAUUUUAAAACCAGGCAGUUCAAUGGGUAGGUGUACUCUGCUAGACAAACAAGAGCUGCUCUCUAGCUCCUACCUGUGGAAUGUAAUGGAGUUGCACACACAAAGUUGAUCCCGGUCAUACUGCUAUGUUUAUGAUCUGGAGACCCGGCGCAUUGGACACUGAGUAAAAAACAAGUGAUAUAGAGGAUGUGGCCAUAUCGCACUCCUCUGGGCAUACUGAGAAAACC